UCAUCAAGUCCCAUUUCACUCUUCACUGACACGCGCAAGGCUCCAUCAGGUCCCAUUUUCCGAUAUUUAGCCAGCUCAUAGUCAUCACAAUUAACAUCUUCUGUAACGUAGACAACAGGAGGUUCUUCCAGCAAAUCACAUUUGGACAAAACAUCAAGCCAAAGAUGGUUGCUAAACCUUUCCCUUAUUUCCUUAUAGAUGACAAACUGCACAAGCAAAUAUGAUGAAAACAAAUAACUUUACCAUGUAAAUAUAGAGGGCUAUGCUACACUACAGAACACACACAGAGAAAUGUGAGAUCUGAGUCAAAACUUUAUUCAUGUAGACGUAAGUUUUUGAACUUCGUACCCUGCUACAAAAACUAAAUACAAUUCAAUAAUUGUACUCCCAAAUACAUAAAAAUGAACAAAAGUUAAACACUAUAUUGACCCCCUAAUGUUGUUCUGAAAUGUCUGAAAUACAUGCUGCACGUUUAAACAGAAGUAGUU
rnacentral:lncRNA from 1 species